rnacentral:rRNA from 1 species
AUAUGGUAAAUUAACCAAGUUCAAAGUAGAAUAAUGAUAAUGACAAAAUUCUAUUUAUAGUCUUGACCAAAUCACGUGCCAGCAGUCGCGGUAAGACGUGGAAGACAAGUGUUAUUCAUCUUUAAUAGGUUUAAAGGGUACCUAGACGGCAAAUCUUGCCUUUAAAAGGGAACAGAUUUGCUAGAGUUUUAUAUGAGAAGGGGAGAAUUAUUGGUGGAGAGAUGAUAUUUGAUAAUACCUUUAGGACUGGUAAUGGCGUAGGCAACCUUUUAUGUAAAAACUGACGUUGAGGGACGAAGGCUUUGGUAAUAAACAGGAUUAGAUACCCUAGUAGUCUUAGCAGAAAAUGCUGAAUGCCAUAGGUUAUAAUAUAAUGGCCUAUAAAUGAAAGUGUAAGCAUUCCACCUCAAGAGUAAUGUGGCAACGCAGAAACUGAAAUCAUUAGACCGUUUCUGAAACCAGUAGUGAAGUAUGUUAUUUAAUUCGAUGAUCCACGAAAAACCUUACCACAACUUGAAUAUUGAGUGAGUAAUGAUUUUAGUAAUAUGUACUAAAUUAGUGGAAAGUUUUUUAAAUUUUCCACUCCGCUCUAUACAAGCGUUGCACGGCUGUCUUCAGUUAAUGUCGUGAGAUUUUGGUUAGUUCCGCUUAAUUAACGCAAACCCUUACUUUAUUUAAAUUUUGUUUUAUAAAGUUGUAUGUAGAGACAUGAAUAUGAUAAAAGGACU